rnacentral:rRNA from 1 species
UACAGAGGGGGCAAGCGUUGUUCGGAAUUACUGGGCGUAAAGGGCGCGUAGGCGGCCUGCUAAGUCGAACGUGAAAUCCCCGGGCUCAACCCGGGAACUGCAUCCGAUACUGGCAGGCUUGAAUCCGGGAGAGGGAUGUGGAAUUCCAGGUGUAGCGGUGAAAUGCGUAGAUAUCUGGAGGAACACCGGUGGCGAAGGCGGCAUCCUGGACCGGUAUUGACGCUGAUGCGCGAAAGCGUGGGGAGCGAUCCGG